UGGGGAAUAUUGGACAAUGGGCGAAAGCCUGAUCCAGCCAUGCCGCGUGUGUGAAGAAGGCCUUUUGGUUGUAAAGCACUUUAAGUGGGGAGGAAAAGCUUAUGGUUAAUACCCAUAAGCCCUGACGUUACCCACAGAAUAAGCACCGGCUAACUCUGUGCCAGCAGCCGCGGUAAUACAGAGGGUGCAAGCGUUAAUCGGAAUUACUGGGCGUAAAGCGCGCGUAGGUGGUUAUUUAAGUCAGAUGUGAAAGCCCCGGGCUUAACCUGGGAACUGCAUCUGAUACUGGAUAACUAGAGUAGGUGAGAGGGGAGUAGAAUUCCAGGUGUAGCGGUGAAAUGCGUAGAUAUAUGGAGGAACACCGGUGGCGAAAGCGGCUCUCUGGUCUGUAACUGACGCUGAGGCUCGAAAGCGUGGGGAGCGAACAGGAUUAGAUACCCUGGUAGUCCACGCCGUAAACGAUGAGUGCUAGGUGUUAGGUCCUUUCCGGGACUUAGUGCCGCAGCUAACGCAUUAAGCACUCCGCCUGGGGAGUACGACCGCAAGGUUG
rnacentral:rRNA from 1 species